ensembl:lncRNA
GGGAGGUGGUUGAGACGGGGGAGGUGGGUGAGACGGGGGAGGUGGGUGAGAGGGGGGAGGUGGGUGAGACGGGGGAGGUUGGUGAGACGGGGGAGGUGGGUGAGAGGGGGGAGGUGGUUGAGACGGGGGAGGUGGGUGAGAGGGGGGAGGUGGUUGAGACGGGGGAGGUGGGUGAGAGGGGGGAGGUGGGUGAGAGGGGGGAGGUGGGUGAGAGGGGGGAGGUGGGUGAGACGGGGGAGGUGGGUGAGAGGGGGGAGGUGGCAGAGGUGGGGGAGGCGGGGGAGGUGAUAGAGGUGGCAGAGGUGGGGGAGGCUUCAUCUUCCGGCAGAAGAACCCACCGGGAGUCUGCCGAUCCCCAGGGGGUGGUUCAGAGUCCUGCUCCGGGACCCACCGACGGAGCGCAGCCUGUUGUCCCGCAGCCUGUUGUCCCGCAGCCUGUUGUCCCGCAGCCUGUUGUCCUGCAGCCUGUUGUCCCCCAGCCUGUUGUCCCGCAGCAGGUCCCCUCCCCGAAGGAACUUGGAGAACAGAGCAGCGACGCCCCCCCUGAGCAGCGUGGGGGUUGUCGUCCGGAGAGCCCAGAGGGACCCACCCAACACGCCAAGUGCAAUAUCAGCAACAGGAACACAGAGGAGCGCAUAGAAGGUCUCUCCGUGCUGAGCUUGGAGUCGAGGGACACGUGUUCAAAAGCCGCCACCAACACUGACAAGGUGAGUGAAAUAGUAUUACGUGACGUCAGCAUAACACUGGGUUAAUACGGAACUAAAGGGAUCUCUUCUCAUCUCAUCAGCUAUUUGAAGAAGCUUGAGUAGUGUGGCAAUCAUCACAACGGCCCCAAACGAUAUAUUUCCAAUCUAGAGCAGUGAGGGGAGGAGAAUGAGUUCAAGUGGCCUCCCAUCCUCCAGACUCACUGAAUCAGAUGUGCCUCUCAGUAGGUUAUGAGGACAGAAAGGUUUUCCUGUGGCAAAACUUAAGCAUGUUACUAACAGCUUGGUUGUAUAUUUAUUCUAACACUUUCAGUGAGUCGCUCUGUGCAGAUGGAAUACAUUGGGAAAUUACUAUCCCCUAAAAAUGUAAACAAACCAGCAUGGUUUCGCAUGGGGAUUUUUAAGGGAAGAAGCCUCUACCAUUCGUCAACUUAGACAACUUACUGCUCCUUAGUGCUCAAGCACUAAGCUGAGAACCCAGGUGCCAUCCAUCAAGUCUGCAAGGGCUCUUCAGGGCUGAGGGUGGCCAAUAGCAUUAGGGCCAGGUUCAAUUGGUUUCCAAAAAUACUAAUUUGUCAUAUCAACCAAUCACUAUGAACACAAGGUCACUUGUUUGUGUGAGUGGUAGAAAAGCAUGCACACUUGAUCCAAGCAUACACACUCAAUAUUUAUAUUGAGCGUGUAGUUCAUUGAUCCAGUGCCUCUUCAACAUAUCCAUUAAAUAUGCUUAUUGUUUUUGUCUUGCAGGCAAGAGAGAACGGGAAAAUUGUCUGAGGCGAUUUCUGAAAUAAAAAAACUGCAACCAAAACACAGUGUUGACAUCGAAGACUUACCCAGCUGGAGUUUAAAACUUUUACUUCCUGUUUGCCUUUUAUUUAUCUUUUCUAUUGCUUUGUGAAGUUGCCAUUGUGCUGGGCUGUGUGUGUGUGUCCCAAUCGUUGCGUGAGCACAGCAUUGUUGGCAAUCUCACACGUUUGCUACAGUACCCUUAUUAAUAACUUCAACAAAAUGCCAAGUGGCCAUUGAUCAGCAAGUUAAGACAAAGGUCACCUUGCAAUACUAUAGGGGUCAAGGUUGAAAUAGGCUCCCAUCACUAAUAUCCUGGAUGGUGAUGAUAGGUAAACACAUGGGAGCCUAUGUUAUGAGGCCCUGUCACUCGGAGCUAAACAUCUUAAUUUGAACACAGGAACGGAAGAGCGUUUACUGGAAAGAAAUCUUCCCCUCGUUUUGCUUCCAAGCACUUUAAUGACGAGUAUUGUCAUAAUAUACACUGUGUUCGAAUGCUGUUUACUUGCGAGAUUUAUGAAUGUGUCUUUUGUUUACAUUUUAAGGAGGUUUUUUUGGUGGGGGUUUCUGCACCACUUCUUGGUGGGAUGUUCAGUGGUAUUUUGUAUAAAUACGAAAGUAUUCAUAGGUUAAGAUCUGCACAUCUACACAAUAUCCAAGUUGCACACAUUUAACACUGUAGAAUCCAGAUUUUUUUUUUCCAACAUCGUUUUUUAAGGAACAACAUGAACUCUUUCAAAGUCCUUCGGUGACUUUAACCAAGACCUGACUUGGUAAUUCACUCAUGAAGGGUGAAUUACCUUUCUGUAUAUCUAUACAAGUUUUCUAACAAGGAUUUUAAAUGUUAAUAUUACGUUUGAAUCGUCUUUUGUAUUGUGUUACUACAAAGCUAAGCAGCCUUGCAAGACAACUCGCAACGGCUCAACUUGUCCAAUCGGGGCGCAUGGUUGUUGCCAAUCAACGUCAGUGUUUAGAGGUCACUAGCAGAAGCUUAUAGCCUAAAGUAGCAACCUUCCAUAUAAUACUGCUUAACUUCCCUGAACAACACUAAUAUUUUGCACUAGUGUACUUCUCAGUACAUCAUGACUUGGCAUCAGCAGCUUCAAAAGGCCUCCUUUGAUCAAUCAUGAGGACUAUCCCUCUAGUAAGGGCAAUGGAAACUUGAUACAAUAAUAAUAUUUUAAUGUAAGGGUAGGCACUUUUUAUUCAUAUCUGUUGAGAUUCUCUGUACAUCCGGACAGCAAUCAAUAAAUCAAAUGCUGUGACGAAAAAAUACGAAAAUCUGCAAAAAGAAGCCUGUCCAAUCAUUUUAUUCGGCCCGAAUGAAAUGAUUGGAUGGCAUACCCAUCAAUCUACCUACUAGCCAGCAACCUGCACACAAUCUGCCCGCCCAACCAUUGCGCAUAACCAGAGUUGUCCACGAGGCUUUUGAGGGAGGGCUGGAGGAGUGGGAUUUUUCUCGUUUGACGCUUUCAAAUUCAAGCUUACUCUGGCUGCUCUCUCAAAACUGCCUACCCCACCAUUAACACUAAAUAGUUGGCCUCUCACGAUAACCUUUAAACAUGAAGGGUGUAAAAGCCAGAUCGAGUCUCAGUGUUUGAAGACAGCCUUGCUCUGCUUCUAAGUUGAAUUUUAAUGUGUUCACGCGUCGCAGAGUGGGGUUGAUAGUGAUUCAUUUGCACAGCACAUGCUAAUUGCUUUCGUAUUGCGGGCUCGAAAGGGUCUCGCUUUUCUGCCUUAAUUUACAUUGACUAAAGACAUGAAACAUUUCAAGGCUAAUGAGAGCCACCACAUGAACUGAACAAGCGGAAUUGGUUAGUGUUUUUUAUAUUGGGCCCCAAACGCGUUGGCUGUCUUUUGUAAUCGUUAGUGAUAACUAUUGCGUUUUAAGCCAUUGUUGUUCUUAUAGAUUGAAUGUGCCUUACAUAUAAGUUUCUCCAAAUGAGGAAGAGGAAAAACGUUAUGGUAACACCAUACAGUAAUCUGUACUAGCAUAGUGACAGUGCACUAUUGUUAUUUCUGAUUGUAUUUAAUGGCCUUUUCAUAUGGAAACCUGAAUGUUAGAAACUAGGAUUCUGCAAACAGUUUUAACAAUGUUACAUGUUGUGUUUCGAUUCUGUAAAGAUUUAUUUAUUAUCAUGUAAUAUUAAUUUUUUACCAUAGCACUUGACAAUAAUGAAUACAAUUCACGUCACUUUAGUGAUAACAUAGUAUAGUUUAUGUCACUGUUUACCAGAUCAAUAAUAUGCUCUUAGAUACAGCAAGGGUCUAUAAUCGACAGCCUUUUGAAUAUGUAGUGUGCAAAGCAGUGGUCAGAGUCAUUCCAUUUCUCCGUAGAGAAGUAUGGUAUUUGAAGGGUUGCAUGAUCAAGUAUGUGAACUGGGUGUACUGCUGUGAGUACUGUCAACGUUUAGGUUCAGGUAACGUUCUUUAACACAUGGAACACAGACUAUUGCACUGUGUAAUACAUGCUGAUGUCCAACAUUUUCUGAAGUCCUUUUGGACAUCUUUAGUGAAGGCCAUCUAGAAUGUGAUUAAUCAGUUUGUCGACAAUGCAAGGGUCAGUUCUCUCAUAAAUGAUUCAUUCAUGAGAUGGGUCGGUACUGCGAAGCCCAGUUUAGGGUUGUAGGUGAUUGUUUAAGAAGGUUUUGCUUCAGGUAGAUCUUCUCUAUCCUAAUGGCAGAUUUGAAUGGUCUGAUCAUUUUUUGGGAAGGAUGGUUCUGAUUGGACGGAGACUUCCCCGCUCUUUGUUCUCACAUUGUAGGAUAAAGGAAGGCACUGGUUCGUGUUUGUUUUAUUUGAUGCGCACUAGUGAACUGUUGCAUUUACCUGUGUAUGUAAUGUCAAUAGAGCUGUUUUCGCAGUGUUUUUUCUCUUUAAAUGAAAGAAAAGCUCUUGUACGUGGAACAUCUGUGUGCGAUUGUACAUAUAAAACGAUUGAGUGGUGGGAUACAGCGCAUUAAUAAAAGGCUUUCUGUAUUUUAGACAUGACCUGACUUCCUUUUUUUGUCUCGCAACAUCAUCAUUCACCCUCAUUAACCCCACGCCUUCACCACACACCUACACACACACAUACACACACUUCUUUGUUGUUCCUUUAUGUCACUGAUGGGGCUUUGCAAUUACAGCCCAGAUGUCUGAGAGUGAGUGGCUCUGGGCCUGAACUCUCAGGGACCUCCGGCGGGUACACAACAAAACAAAAG